GACGAACCGUGCGAACGUUGUUCGGAAUCACUGGGCUUAAAGGGCGCGUAGGCGGGCUGUCAAGUCUGGGGUGAAAUCCCGCGGCUCAACCGUGGAACUGCCUCAGAUACUGACGGCCUCGAGGAAGGUAGGGGCAUGCGGAACUGUAGGUGGAGCGGUGAAAUGCGUUGAUAUCUAUAGGAACUCCGGUGGCGAAAGCGGCGUGCUGGACCUUUUCUGACGCUGAGGCGCGAAAGCUAGGGGAGCAAACGGG
rnacentral:rRNA from 1 species